ACAGUGACUGAGACCAAUGUUACAACAUGUGCAUUGCCAGAUGAAUGUGAAUCCUGGUCCUUUAACACAGGCUGCAGGAGGAGAUCACAUUCUAUCCAGUGCUGUCACAAAGACCUCUGCAAUAAACAAGUUGGCCCAGAUUUGUACUCUAAUCAGAAUGGCAAGAAAUGUCACACUUGUCAUGAGGAGGACUGUUCAAACACAGUGAGUUGUCGGGGGAAUGAAGACUACUGCUUUACUGGCAACGAGCCAUCGAUUUUGAAAGGAUGUGCCUCUAAGUACUUCUGUGAUGAUCCAUCAAAAAUAUUACCUAGUGUAAACAUCACAUGUUGUUCAGGGGAUCUGUGUAACGGUGCUCAGAGUGUCACUCAGAGCCUCCUGUUCCUCUGCUGUUCUCUGCUCUCCUUUGUCCUGCUGCACUGAAUCCAGCAGCAAAGACCCUCCAAAUCAGACACAAUUUAAUUAAUCACUGCGCGUUGUUACGUGCUUGUGUUGUGUUAUGUGUUUCUUCGCUGUCUCUUUUGUUUACUUUCACUUUUCCCAGUUACCUGUCAUUGGUCCUGUCACAUGCCACCUGCCAAUCUUCAUUAACUGCUGACGUCACCCAUCCUGCCGUCCCCAAUCGGACAAGACCCUCCCAGACGAAAGUGCACGCCAGACCACCCGCAAACCCCCAUGUUGUUGCUGUUUUGUACUGUGUUUUUUCUUAGGUUUUUAUUAGGUUAGGGGCGAGUGCAACCCCUUGUACUUUUGUUUAUUGGCUAGAAAGUGUAGUUUAGUUGUAGUUUAGACCACUUUGGGGUCGUAACAGCAUUAAAAAUAUAAGCAUUAAUUUUCUGAAAUCAUUUGGUUAUCUUUUAAUCCGUAAUAUAAUAACAAGCGGUCUAAAACAAAGAAAUUGCAAGAUCAUGUUUUAUUAAACAAUGAAUAUAAAUAGAAUGACAGUUUUAACAUGGUUCUUCAUGUUUUACACAAACUUGUGCAGUUCAUACCAACAAAAUAAUAUCAUUUCACAAGUGGUCUUAGACUUUUGGACCCCACUAUGCAUAUUGAGAUGAUAAUAAUGUUAAAAAAAUCCGACAAAAUAUUUUAAAAAAUAAACUAAAAUAAAAAGUAAAUAACUUCAUAUGUAUGGCCCAGUGCUGAAGUCCAGAUGAACCCAGAACUUUGACAGUGAAUUAGUUGAUCUCUUUAUUUAGCAAAAUACAGCUGUUCCCAUGAAUAACUUCUAUAUUCAUGCAAAUUACUUAGUAAUCUGACCAAAACAGAAAUAAAAAAUGUAUUCCCGUAAUUCAUCGAAUUUAAUAAAGUCAUGUUUUUGUCCUUAAGCCACAAGAAAUUAGAUGUUUUGUGUAUCCAGCAGGAGGCAGCAUUUGAUCAUGCAUUUUAUCAAUGCAUUUUGACUUUCAAAAAUCCCUUCAAAAUCAUUGCAUUUUUUUCUUGUCUGUUUGCAUGAAUAAGUAAUUUUAAAAGAAACUGCAUUUAAAACUUUUAACACAAAACUAAGCUAAGCUUACUGCUAUUGCUUUGAAAUAUGUUCAUUUAGAUUUGUUAAAAAAAUAUAUAAACAUUUAACUUUUUUUUUUUUUAAAAGUAAAUUUUUAUGGUAAAUAUUUUUAUUUUUAGAUACAUCAGAGAUUUACUAAACAUUUAAACAUUUCUGAACAAUUUCAUUUUAUGUAUUUUCUAAAUAACUAAUACCAAUUACAAUUUUAGUUUUAAGCAGUGUAUUGUUAGUUAGUAUGCCACA